ACAGUGGUCGUUCCGUGGUAGAACUCUUGCCUUCCAUGCAGGAGGCUCGGGUUCAAUUCCCAGCCAGUGCA
rnacentral:tRNA from 1 species